rnacentral:rRNA from 1 species
UACGUAGGGGGCAAGCGUUGUCCGGAAUUACUGGGCGUAAAGCGUGCGCAGGCGGUUGGGUAAGUCUGUCGUGAAAUCCCCGGGCUCAACCUGGGAAUUGCGAUGGAGACUGCACGGCUAGAGUGUGUCAGAGGGGGGUAGAAUUCCACGUGUAGCAGUGAAAUGCGUAGAUAUGUGGAGGAACACCGAUGGCGAAGGCAGCCCCCUGGGAUAACACUGACGCUCAUGCACGAAAGCGUGGGGAGCAAACAGG